ensembl:lncRNA
AUGUGGACAGGACAAACUCACAGAGACAAGGAUACUCAACAUCCAAAGGGGCCGUUGUUACCCAGAAAUCUUUAUUACAAAAAUAUUUUGCAAGCCAAAAAGUUUAAGUUGCAACUAUAUACAAAAUGGGGCCUGUUUCCUUCCCCACAGUCUGAAAACAGAAGAACCAGCCACGUGGAGGGAAGGCUAAGUGUCUCCAUGGAGCAGACAACCUGGAACCGUCUGCCCCACCCUCAGGCCUCUGGGACCGGGAGGAACUCAGUUUCUGCCAUGAGUGAUUCUCUCCAGGACAACNCCUCUGGGACCGGGAGGAACUCAGUUUCUGCCAUGAGUGACUCUCUCCAGGACAACCGACCGUUCAGCCUCAGACUGUGCAAGACCAACCACGCACAUCAACACAUGACAAAGAGCCAAGAUAACGCUGCUGUUGUUUUAAGAAAAAAAAAAAACAGAACGAAACACCACAGAUCAAAUUUUCUAACACCUCAGUUUCAAGAUUGCACAUUUCACGUUUCUCAAUAAUUUACAGGCGUCCACAGCGAGAUGUUGUGAGUUAGUGCUUGCUGGAGGAAGCGAGCUCAGGUCUGGAAAGGAGACAUGGGGCCACAUGGAGCGUCAUAGUCAAGAUGACGGGUCCUCUAGGUCUCGAGGGCUGCGAGGAGGAAGGAUGUUUCUGUCCCACAGUCCUUGGUGGUGGAGGAGUUCCUCAGAGGGUCCUCUCCUCCCCAGGGCUUGUGGCCGGUCACUCCAGGUCGGGGGAGGCCAGGACUGCUGGCAGCCACUGCACCAGGUCUCAGGAGGCGGGUCCAGCUUCCCCAUGGACAGGCAGUUCAAUCUAAAGGGGACAGCUUUCACCAAAGCCCCAGCUAGUAGUGCCGGGGGGAGGAGGAGGUAUGUUUUCUCCCUCCUCACUCUGGAAGAUCAAGCCGCGGAGCAUCAAGGAGGCAAUCAGGGGUCUCCAGGACCGUGACCAAGACCCACAGUUGAUGGACAGAGGUGUGAGAGUUCUCGCACCCACAGUGGCUCUGGCCAGUUCCCAAGGCCGGCUCCCCACCUGGUUUGGCAACACCAGCCUCCAUGUGUGGCCACAUUGGAGGGGUCAUGGCUACCCUGGAAAUGCUGGUGAGCCAACUGGGUUGAGGAGACAAGAGCUACCCUCACUUCUGGGUCCCAGGGCCUCUGCCACCCUAGCCCCCCAGGAACUGGGCUGGUUGUCCUCACCACGGCUGCUCCGUGUGGGACAGGAAGGCUCAUGGGGACAGACCCUAGAGAUGACCACGGCCCUGUUCACUUCCUCUGGACCUGGACGCUGGCAUACUCUGAGUAGGAUGGCUCAGGCUUGGGGGCCGGUUGCUUGGGGGUCCGGUUGAGGUGGACCAUGUCCAGGUCAGCGUAGGUGAGGGUGUCCUCAGAUACGGGUGGCGGGCGGGCCUGAAUGCUGGCAUACUCCGUGUGGUUGUUCGGCUCAUUGGCCUUGGGGGUUGAUUUCUUCCCCUUGGGCAGGUUCAGGUCUGCAUAUGUGAUGUCAUUGUUGUCUUGGAUCUAAAUGAGAUAGAGAGAAGGUCAUUCUGGAGCCCCUGCCAGUCACCACUGGAAUCAAGUCCGGACGCUCUGUCUCCUCUUGGCCUCCACUAGCUCAGCCUUAAUUCAUGUCCCCUCUUCUCCAGCCGAGGUCACCUGUCUCCAGCCUUGCCCUUCCAAUCAGCCUCUUCACAUAGCCUGAAGGCUCUUGCUAAAUGUCAGUGUGGUCACUUCAUAGCUCUGCCUCUAUGUCACCCCUCUUGAAGUUCUUGCCUGCCUUUCCUGAUGCUCUUUCCUCUUCUGAGAAAGUCCAGCCCCCUUUCUCCUUGUAAUGAAACCCAACGCACCCUGUCAAUUUCAUCCUAAGACCUUCCUCUCAGCUGGGUCCAGGACCAUGACUCUGCACUUCCCUCCGUGCUUUUCCAUCACAGCACCCACCCCUUAGCUAGGACCGUCUGUGCCCGUCCAGGGGUGUGAGUAGAUGCUGAUCCCCAGUGGGUGGGGACAUUCAUUUAUUUACUCAUUUAUGCAACAAGUAUUCACUAGGCAUUUGUUAUGAUGCAAAAAUCAAGGCUGGCACAGAAAAAAACCAAUCAAUGUUAAAUGAAUGAGUGAAUGAGUGGCAGAUGAAUAAAUGGAUGGCAACUCUUCCAGCCCCACUCCAGGUGAGGCUGGGGACUGGGGGGAGAGAAGAUGGGAGUUUGUGAGAAUGAGGCCAGCAGAUAACAGGAGGCAAAGGUUUUGUAGGCAGAAGUCAGAGUGUGAAUCCUGGUUCUGUUCUCUCUGGAGGAGGGACUGGACAGUUCACUUAACCUCUCUGGGCCUUGGUUUCCCCAUCUUUAAAGUAGGUCUAAUAAUAGUAUCUGUUGCCAUGGUCACGGGAGGAUCCGAUGAGGUGGUCCAGGUAAAGCUCUCAGGACAGAGCCUGGCUCAUGCCAGGUGCGUGGACGUGCAGCACAUGUCAGCAAUCACCUACCACCUGGCAAACCUGAGCUGCUCCGAUGUGCCUGUCUUAUCACUCACAACUGCCAUCUUGAAAUUACCCAUCACAAAAGACUCACUUUGCUUCUUUGUGCCUAGCAGCUUAACCGUGGAAGUAGAGGGGAGUGAUCAACACCCAUGAUCCCACCUGACGCACAAUAACCUCAGACCCUGACGGCUGAUGGGCACCCUGCUCUCACGUGGAUCACCUGAUUUAGGUGCUUUCACAACAUAUUUAUCCCACUUCACGGUGAAGAAUCUUAUAGCAAGGGAGGUGAAAUAAUUGGGUCAAAGUCAUACAGCUAGAAAAGAGUCAAGGUCUGCUGGCCUCUAAAGCUGUGGUCUGACCGCAUGGCCCCUGUCCUCAACCCUGCAUGCUUGCUCACUUCUCUCUGGGAAACCCAUGCCAGCAGUAAGGGCUGGCCCUGGGCUGGGAGUCCUAGUUACAGGGCUGCGAGAUCACAAGAGCCCUGCUCACUGCCCAGGGCCUGGCACAUAGUAGGUGCUCAGUAAGUCCCGACUGACUGUAAAUUCUGUACAAGAUUCAGUGACCAGCUCUUUUCACCAUCAUUCUUUCCCUGGAAAACUGCAGAAAGAACUUUGACUUUUAAAGUUCCAGAAAGUAAAAUGACUGGGGAAAAGCCUUCCUGACCCAUGANNNNNNNNNNNNNNNNNNNNNNNNNNNNNNNNNNNNNNNNNNNNNNNNNNNNNNNNNNNNNNNNNNNNNNNNNNNNNNNNNNNNNNNNNNNNNNNNNNNAAAGUUCCAGAAAGUAAAAUGACUGGGGAAAAGCCUUCCUGACCCAUGAUUGGAAAUUAUCUUGUAUUUCUAAUCAUUGCCUGAGCUUGUGCCUAUGGUCGCUGGUGGGGGAGGGGAAGUUGGCACCGAGUCGGCAGAGUUCUGGCCUACAAACAUUGUGCAUUUUGCCAGCCUGGCUCUCUUCAACAAAUUACAGCUACAGCGAUGACAACUGCCAGGGAAAUGUCAAGGACAGCUGGCUUUUCUCAUUCCAGGUUCAGGGCUGGGCCUGUCUCCUUAUAAGACGCUGAGGAGCCCUCUGCCUCCCAAGGUCUGAUAGCAUCAGCCAGGGCAGACAGGGCCAGAGUUCUCAGAAACAGGCCACCAACCAUGGUGACUGCAAAGCCUCCUCAAUAAUGCUGGGGUGGAAUUGCCAGCUCCAGGGGCAUGUGCUGUUGCACGAGGUGAUAAAUGACAUGGGGUCUUCCCAUCAGCAAAGGCAGUGCAGUGCUGUGUUCCUGCAUGUGAGAGACACAGGGCUGCAAGGGCGCUCCCGGUAGAGGGGCUGGCCAGGCACAGGCAUGGAGGCCGGAUGGCGUGAAGAGCACUAAGCCCAACUCCAGCAGCACCAUUUACACAGAACACAUGGCGGAUGGCGCCCUUCCAAGUUGUACGGUGACUGGCA